GAUGAACGCUGGCGGCGUGCCUAAUACAUGCAAGUCGAGCGAACAGACGAGGAGCUUGCUCUUCUGAUGUAGCGGCGGACGGGGGAGUAACCCGUUGAAAACCUACCUAUAAGACUGGGAUAAACUCGGGAAACCGGAGCUAAUACCGGAUAACAUGUUGAACCGCAAGGGUCAACAGUGAAAGACGGUCUUGCCGUCACUUAUAGAUGGAUCCGCGCCGCAUUAGCUAGUUGGUAAGGUAACGGCUUACCAAGGCAACGAUGCGUAGCCGACCUGAGAGGGUGAUCGGCCACACUGGAACUGAGACACGGUCCAGACUCCUACGGGAGGCAGCAGUAGGGAAUCUUCCGCAAUGGGCGAAAGCCUGACGGAGCAACGCCGCGUGAGUGAAGAAGGUCUUCGGAUCGUAAAACUCUGUUAUUAGGGAAGAACAAAUGUGUAAGUAACUAUGCACGUCUUGACGGUACCUAAUCAGAAAGCCACGGCUAACUACGUG
rnacentral:rRNA from 1 species